UACAGAGGGUGCAAGCGUUGUUCGGAAUUAUUGGGCGUAAAGCGCGUGUAGGCGGCUUUGCAAGUCGGGUGUGAGAGCCCUCAGCUUAACUGAGGAAGUGCGCCCGAAACUGCAGAGCUUGAGUACCGGAGAGGAUGGUGGAAUUCCCGAAGUAGAGGUGAAAUUCGUAGAUAUCGGGAGGAACACCGGUGGCGAAGGCGACCAUCUGGACGGAUACUGACGCUGAGACGCGAAAGCGUGGUGAGCAAACAGG
rnacentral:rRNA from 1 species